rnacentral:rRNA from 1 species
UACAGAGGUCCCAAGCGUUGUUCGGAUUUACUGGGCGUAAAGGGUGCGUAGGCGGUUGGGUAAGUCUGACGUGAAAAUCUCCGAGCCUAACUCGGAAACUGCGUUGGAUACUAUCCGGCUAGAGGAAUGGAGGGGAGACUGGAAUACUUGGUGUAGCAGUGAAAUGCGUAGAUAUCAAGUGGAACACCAGUGGCGAAGGCGAGUCUCUGGACAUUUCCUGACGCUGAGGCACGAAAGCCAGGGGAGCAAACGGG